GGACUACACGGGUUUCUAAUCCCGUUCGCUACCUACGCUUUCGUGUAUGAGCGUCAGAAAUGGGCCAGCGCGCUGCCUUCGCAUUUGGUGUUCCCCAUGAUAUCAACGGUUUCACCCCUACACCAUGAGUUCCACGCGCCUCUCCCACCCUCAAAGCAAUGCCGUUUCCUGCGCAUUCCAUGGGUUGAGCCCACGGGCUUUUACGCAAGACUAGCAUUGCCGCCUGCACACCCUUUACGCCCAGUGAUUCCGGGUAACGCUUGAGGCCUCUGUAUUACCGCGGCGGCUGGCAC
rnacentral:rRNA from 1 species